GUCAGUGUGUUUACCAAAACCGGCCUGACAGCUACAGGAAGUACUCCCAUUUGCUCAUCUUUGGACUCUUUUUGAAGGGAUCUGUUGGUGAUGCACUGAUGGGAGAGAACCGGCUGUCCCACAGUGGAAUGUCUGAACAUCGUGGCUGCUCUGUUUCUGCCUGGGAACUGAACUUUGGACUCUUAGCUUCCCCUCUUAUCCUGCUAGCCGCUUUAGCUUGCUGAGGAAGGCAGCAUUAGCUCCAGAAAGACUCAUUCCGUGUUUGAAUCCAGCUCCUCACCGAAGAGAAGCAGCAUGGUCGACAAAAACAUCUACAUUGUCCAAGGAGAAAUAACCACGGUUGUUGGAGCCAUUAAGAGAAACUCCCGAUGGAAUAACCACACGUCGCUGGAUGAAGAACAGGACCCGUUACUGAACAGCUUCGGCCAUCUUAAGGAGCAUCUCAACAACAUUAAAGGUGAGCUGGUGUCAUUGUUUCACCAUCUAUUCUGUCAGGGAGUGAACUAUGAUGUUUUAGGGCCGGGCGAU